CCCGAGCGCUGGGGCGCGCGGCGUCGCAGGUGUGCUGGCCGCGCCCUGGAGGAGGACGCUGGGGGAGAGGGCAUCAGGCCUCCCUCCGGUGGGUCCCCAAAGUAUUCAGACCACCAAAUCGGUUUCCCGGCCGCCGAGGGCAGCGUGGGCGAAGGCAGCGAGGUGUGGAGCCGCGGGUGCACUCUUGGAGCUCUGAACCACCAUUUAAGUCCAGCUACCUGGAGGCCGCCAUGCUGUGAGGAAGCUGAAGCUAACCACCUGGAGAGAUCCUGUGGAGAAACAUGCCCAAACAGCACCCAGCUCUCCUAGCCAUCCUGGCCCAAGUGACUAACCUGUGAGUGAAGAAUCCUUCCCAUGACUCUACUCUCAGAAGCCAUAUGACUAUAACUGCAUGAGUGACCCCAAGAAGAACUCCCCAGAUGAGUCCAUCAAACCCCAAACCAUGAGAGAUAACAAUAAAUUGUUGCUUUAAUCCACUAA